GAAAUUCGGAGCUGCGCACUCCUCCUCCCAGCGCCCUCCGAUGGACUGACAACACUCCUCCUCCCCAGUUGUCAGUCGCCUCAAUGACGCCCACCGGAUCCUCCCCCGGUGGGCGUUUGGU
rnacentral:sRNA from 1 species